AACGAACGCUGGCGGCAGGCUUAACACAUGCAAGUCGAGCGGGCUUUCUGGUGUAGCAAUACAUCAGAAAGUCAGUGGCGAACGGGUGCGUAACACGUGAACAAUCUACCACUUAGUGUGGAAUAGCUCGCCGAAAGGCGAAUUAAUACCGCAUGUAGUUGGCCCUCGCAUGAGGGCCAUACUAAAGUCAGGGACCGCAAGGCCUGACGCUAAUUGAGGAGUUCGCGGCCUAUCAGCUAGUUGGCGAGGUAACGGCUCACCAAGGCUAAGACGGGUAGCUGAGCUGAGAGGAUGAUCAGCCACACUGGAACUGAGAAACGGUCCAGACACCUACGGGUGGCAGCAGUUUCGAAUCAUUCACAAUGGGCGAAAGCCUGAUGGUGCGACGCCGCGUGAGGGAUGAAGGUCUUCGGAUUGUAAACCUCUGUCACUGGGGAGAAAACGCUUUGAGUUAAUAGUUCAAAGCCUGAUUUAACCCGGAGAGGAAGCAGUGGCUAACUCUGUGCCAGCCGCCGCGGUAAUAC
rnacentral:rRNA from 1 species